rnacentral:rRNA from 1 species
UGGGGGAUAUUGCACAAUGGGGGAAACCCUGAUGCAGCAACGCCGCGUGAAGGAAGAAGGUCUUCGGAUUGUAAACUUUUGUCUUGCGGGACGAAUAAUGACGGUACCGCAGGAGGAAGCCACGGCUAACUACGUGCCAGCAGCCGCGGUAAUACGUAGGUGGCGCGCGUUGUCCGGAAUUAAUGGGUGUAAAGGGUGCGUAGGCGGAUUUGCAAGUCAGGUGUGAAAACUAUCGGCUUAACCGGGAGCCUGCACUGGAAACUGUGAGUCUUGAGUGGGGAAGAGGUAAGCGGAAUUCCUAGUGUAGCGGUGAAAUGCGUAGAUAUUAGGAGGAACACCAGUGGCGAAGGCGGCUUACUGGGCACUAACUGACGCUGAGGCACGAAAGCAUGGGGAGCAAACA